UGUCCAGGCUGUCCCUGCUUCCCCCCUGGUGGGCUCCUUUCCUCUCUGUCCACCCAUUGCAUAGUGCCCAGCUGCUAAAGUGGAGCCAGAAGUCUGGAACAGGAUCUCGGUGACUGGCUACAUUGUGGAAAGUACAGUCUCUGGAGUAGAAGAGGAGGACUGAGAACUACAGGCUCAGGAUGUGAACACUGACUAUCCGUCCAGAGCAGCUGUGGGGAAGCCGAUUCAGGUUGUUCCACAGGCCUCGAAGGGCACAGCCAGGAACAAAGACAGGGAAGACACGGUUUUGUGGACUCUAUUCAGACAUCCAACAGAAUUAAUACUAACAUUGGCUAUAACAUGAAGCUAUUGUGUUAAAGGAAAGAAGUCGAGUGUUAAAAGACUUCCUACUCCAGGAUAUCCUACUGAAGAAGUCCAGAAGAAGCAUGGUGGCCCUGACUGACAGCAGACAUGCUGUCUGAUGCUAGGCUGCAGGGGCUGUGUGUGCUGUCCCACCCUUUGUGGCUUGAAGUUGACAGUGCUCAAAAGGAUAAGGAGAAGAAAGUAGUACAGAGAACAAUGGGAUUCGGACAUCGCCUACACAGUGGGAUGAACCCACAGGUCCAUGCGUGAUGUAUAAAGCAUUUGAGGUUGAGAGGAAGAAAAUGCCACCAGGCUAUGAAGCAGGGCAUAGGAGAACAGCUUUGCCAUAUGAUUUAUGUUCAGGAGUGUGAGGAUGGGGAGUUCACACUGGUCAUCACACUUCAGAGGACACUGAUACAGAGACAAGGAAGAAAUGCAGGAGAUCUACACACACAGGGACCCUGGGAACAGAAGACUGACUGGCCAUCCUUAAAUGAAGCCUGCUGCAGCCCAGUACAAAUAAAAAAGAGGUGAUGUCCCCUGCCACAUCAGAACGAGCUCAGAGCUGAGGGCAGAACCGAAGUGACAGCUUAAGGACCAGAGCACCGCUCAGGAAGGGAGAGAGGCUGAGUAUGGUCGCACUUGGGGACCCUGGGGACCCGCGGGGGACGGGCAACCAACCUGUGCGCCGCCUUCUGCUCGCAC
rnacentral:lncRNA from 1 species